rnacentral:tRNA from 1 species
AGGGAUGUAGCUUAGUGAUAAAGCCUUUGCCUAGCAUGCACAAGAUCCUGGGUUCCAUCCCCUGUACCACUA